GUAGGUCCCGAGCGUUGUCCGGAUUUAUUGGGCGUAAAGACGAGCGCAGGCGGUUAGAUAAGUCUGAAGUUAAAGGCUGUGGCUUAACCAUAGUACGCUUUGGAAACUGUUUAACUUGAGUGCAAGAGGGGAGAGUGGAAUUCCAUGUGUAGCGGUGAAAUGCGUAGAUAUAUGGAGGAACACCGGUGGCGAAAGCGGCUCUCUGGCUUGUAACUGACGCUGAGGCUCGAAAGCGUGGGGAGCAAACAGGAUUAGAUACCCUGGUAGUCCACGCCGUAAACGAUGAGUGCUAGGUGUUAGACCCUUUCCGGGUUUAGUGCCGCAGCUAACGCAUUAAGCACUCCGCCUGGGGAGUACGACCGCAAGGUUG
rnacentral:rRNA from 1 species